rnacentral:rRNA from 1 species
UGCAAGUCGAGCGGACAGAAGGGAGCUUGCUCCCGGAUGUUAGCGGCGGACGGGUGAGUAACACGUGGGUAACCUGCCUGUAAGACUGGGAUAACUCCGGGAAACCGGAGCUAAUACCGGAUAGUUCCUUGAACCGCAUGGUUCAAGGAUGAAAGACGGUUUCGGCUGUCACUUACAGAUGGACCCGCGGCGCAUUAGCUAGUUGGUGAGGUAACGGCUCACCAAGGCGACGAUGCGUAGCCGACCUGAGAGGGUGAUCGGCCACACUGGGACUGAGACACGGCCCAGACUCCUACGGGAGGCAGCAGUAGGGAAUCUUCCGCAAUGGACGAAAGUCUGACGGAGCAACGCCGCGUGAGUGAUGAAGGUUUUCGGAUCGUAAAGCUCUGUUGUUAGGGAAGAACAAGUGCAAGAGUAACUGCUUGCACCUUGACGGUACCUAACCAGAAAGCCACGGCUAACUACGUGCCAGCAGCCGCGGUAAUACGUAGGUGGCAAGCGUUGUCCGGAAUUAUUGGGCGUAAAGGGCUCGCAGGCGGUUUCUUAAGUCUGAUGUGAAAGCCCCCGGCUCAACCGGGGAGGGUCAUUGGAAACUGGGAAACUUGAGUGCAGAAGAGGAGAGUGGAAUUCCACGUGUAGCGGUGAAAUGCGUAGAGAUGUGGAGGAACACCAGUGGCGAAGGCGACUCUCUGGUCUGUAACUGACGCUGAGGAGCGAAAGCGUGGGGAGCGAACAGGAUUAGAUACCCUGGUAGUCCACGCCGUAAACGAUGAGUGCUAAGUGUUAGGGGGUUUCCGCCCCUUAGUGCUGCAGCUAACGCAUUAAGCACUCCGCCUGGGGAGUACGGUCGCAAGACUGAAACUCAAAGGAAUUGACGGGGGCCCGCACAAGCGGUGGAGCAUGUGGUUUAAUUCGAA